rnacentral:rRNA from 1 species
AGAGUUUGAUCCUGGCUCAGGAUGAACGCUAGCGGCAGGCUUCAUACAUGCAAGUCGAGGGGCAGCAUAAAUUACUUGUAAUUUGAUGGCGACCGGCGAACGGGUGCGUAACGCGUAUGCAACUUACCUUUUACUAGAGAAUAGCCAAGAGAAAUUUUGAUUAAUGCUCUAUACACUUAUUUUUUCUCAUGAAUUUAUAAGAAAAGCUCCGGCGGUAAAAGAUGGGCAUGCGUCCUAUUAGCUUGUAGGUGAGGUAAUGGCUCACCUAAGCUCCGAUAGGUAGGGGUCCUGAGAGGGAGAUCCCCCACACUGGUACUGAGACACGGACCAGACUUCUACGGAAGGCAGCAGUAAGGAAUAUUGGACAAUGGAGGCAACUCUGAUCCAGCCAUGCCGCGUGAAGGAAGACGGCCUUAUGGGUUGUAAACUUCUUUUAUACAGGAAGAAACCUUUCCACGUGUGGAAAGCUGACGGUACUGUAAGAAUAAGGAUCGGCUAACUCCGUGCCAGCAGCCGCGGUAAUACGGAGGAUCCAAGCGUUAUCCGGAAUUAUUGGGUUUAAAGGGUCCGCAGGCUGUUUGUUAAGUCAGAGGUGAAAUCCUACCGCUCAACGGUAGAACUGCCUUUGAUACUGGCAAACUUGAGUUAUUGUGAAGUAGUUAGAAUGUGUAGUGUAGCGGUGAAAUGCAUAGAUAUUACACAGAAUACCGAUUGCGAAAGCAGAUUACUAACAAUAUACUGACGCUGAGGGACGAAAGCGUGGGUAGCGAACAGGAUUAGAUACCCUGGUAGUCCACGCCGUAAACGAUGGUCACUAGCUGUUUGAUGUACAUUGGUACAUUGAGUGGCUAAGCGAAAGUGAUAAGUGACCCACCUGGGGAGUACGCUCGCAAGAGUGAAACUCAAAGGAAUUGACGGGGGCCCGCACAAGCGGUGGAGCAUGUGGUUUAAUUCGAUGAUACGCGAGGAACCUUACCAGGACUUAAAUGUAAGUUGCAUGAUUCAGAAAUGGAUCUUUCUUCGGACUACUUACAAGGUGCUGCAUGGUUGUCGUCAGCUCGUGCCGUGAGGUGUCAGGUUAAGUCCUAUAACGAGCGCAACCCCUAUCGUUAGUUGCCAUCAAGUAAAGUUGGGAACUCUAGCGAAACUGCCGGUGCAAACCGUGAGGAAGGUGGGGAUGACGUCAAAUCAUCACGGCCCUUACGUUCUGGGCUACACACGUGCUACAAUGGCCGGUACAGAAAGCAGCCACUAUGCGAAUAGGAGCUAAUCUUCAAAGCCGGUCUCAGUUCGGAUCGCAGUCUGCAACUCGACUGCGUGAAGCUGGAAUCGCUAGUAAUCGGAUAUCAGCCAUGAUCCGGUGAAUACGUUCCCGGGCCUUGUACACACCGCCCGUCAAGCCAUGGAAGCUGGGGGUACCUAAAGUCGGUGACCGAAAGGAGCCGCCUAGGGUAAAACUAGUAACUGGGGCUAAGUCGUAACAAGGUAAAUCACUA